UUAAACCUAUUUUUAUUUAACUGUUUGUAUCCUUCGAACAUAUUGAUCAACAUCACAUCACACCAUAAUUAUGACGUAAAUGAAACAUUCUCGCGCUUACAACACUUCCACUAUAUCAAAAAUGUGUUUUCUACGUUACCUACUUUGAAUUUAUCUUCAGCAAAAAAAAAACAUUUCAUAUCCAACAGGUUUUCAACAGGGGUCCUUUGUAUCUCAUUCAAUUGUGCGUAUUCAAUGUACACCUUCAUCCCAUAAACCAUGUAUGUGUUGGCAAAUCCAUCACACAGCAACCACGCCGUCGAUCUCCUAAUAGGACCCCGGCUUCUCGUUUGUUUGGUCUGGAAAAAGGGCCCAACUGACACGUCACUGUGGGGAAUCGACCGACCACUUCAAUCAAGCACCCCGGAUUUGAUUUCCGUGUCAUGUUAAAUGAAUGCGGGUCAUAAAUUAUCCAAGAAAUGUAGUUCGCGCUAACCAUAACGUUCUCCCCUCGUCGCGUCGACUACUGGUCGGUCGGUCAGUUGGUUGCCGACCGUUUUGGUCCGACUGCUGGAUCGGUUCGGCUCUGUUCAUUCAGUGAUUUCGUUGUGAUAGAUGACAGGGGCGAUAAGUGCGUGAGUUUGUGCCAUCCCAAUAUUCACCCACCGUCAGUCACAAUCAUGAGUAGUUGGUGUUCGGCUGUUAAGAGGAUCGGCAACCAGCCCGCCGGCCGCUGCGCUGGAGGACUCGCCUGAACCCGGAGUUCGCUCUCUUGACACAAACACUGCACAAUGAAUGUAAUUAUUCAAUUUAGCUUAAUAAAAUCAUUCCUAUGAAUGGCGGGGCAAAACGGCGAAGAAUGAAUACAAAAGA